UACAGAGGGGGCAAGCGUUAUUCGGAAUUAUUGGGCGUAAAGGGCGCGUAGGCGGCUUCGCAAGUGGAAGGUGAAAUCCCUCGGCUUAACCGAGGAGCUGCCCUCCAAACUGCGUUGCUUGAGGCCGGGAGAGGUGAGUGGAAUUCCCAGUGUAGCGGUGAAAUGCGUAGAUAUUGGGAGGAACACCAGUGGCGAAGGCGACUUCCUGGCCUGUUCUUGACGCUGAGGCGCGAAAGCUAGGGUAGCAAACGGG
rnacentral:rRNA from 1 species